GUGAAUCAUCAAAUUUUUGAACGCAAAUUGCACUUUCUGGUAUGCCGGAAAGUAUUCCUGUUUGAGGGUCUGUUAAAUAAAAAUCGGGGUUGUUUCUGCCUUUCUUGGUGACGCGUCGGAAUUGUUUCGUCUUACCUUCGGUUAAGUGACUUAAAAUUUUUCCAUGAUUUUCGAACUUAUUUAAAUCGCUUACUUACUUUUGAGUUAUCGAAUG
rnacentral:misc_RNA from 1 species